rnacentral:rRNA from 1 species
AUUGAACGCUGGCGGCAUGCCUUACACAUGCAAGUCGAACGGCAGCACGGGAGCAAUCCUGGUGGCGAGUGGCGAACGGGUGAGUAAUAUAUCGGAACGUGCCCGGUCGUGGGGAUAACGUAGCGAAAGCUACGCUAAUACCGCAUACGAUCUACGGAUGAAAGCGGGGGAUCGCAAGGCCUCGCGCGAUUGGAGCGGCCGAUAUCAGAUUAGGUAGUUGGUGAGGUAAAGGCUCACCAAGCCGACGAUCUGUAGCUGGUCUGAGAGGACGACCAGCCACACUGGGACUGAGACACGGCCCAGACUCCUACGGGAGGCAGCAGUGGGGAAUUUUGGACAAUGGGCGCAAGCCUGAUCCAGCAAUGCCGCGUGCAGGAUG